AACUCAAUAGGAGCACCAGCAACAGGUCCAGCAUUUGGUAAUUAUUAUGGAUUUAAAAGCUAUGGGGACAUAAAAAAUGAUAUUCAGAAAAAUGGGGCUGCAGUAAUGUAUGAUGACACUUACGUGACAAAUUACUGUUCAUUUGGAUCAACUUGGGUUGGCUUUGACGACGUUGAGGUUGUCCGAAAGAAGGUAAAAUAUGCCAGGGAAAAGAAGCUACUUGGUUACCAUGUAUGGCUAGUUUCCUAUGAUGACGACAAAUGGACACUUACAACCGCAGCAGGUGUACCUAGGGACUAAAAAGGAAUCAGAAUCUCUUGAAGAUAUAUAAGUAACUUGUGCAACAAGUAAGGGUAUUGGUAAAGCUUCAAGAGGGGCCCAGAUUUCCGGUGAGUCCUCACUAGGCAGGGACACGACACGUGGCUGAGGCAGUUGACAG